UCAAAUUGGCUUUAUUUUUUUUAUUUUUCAAUUUGCAUUUUUUUUGUAUUUUCCUUUUUGUAUUUUUUUCUCCUUGUAAAAAUUGGAGGCUGUAGGCAAAUAAAUGUCGCAGAAGCUGUUUCUUUGUCUCCUCCUUUGAACGAAAAGAUAA
rnacentral:ribozyme from 14 species